rnacentral:rRNA from 1 species
UACAGAGGUGGCAAGCGUUGUUCGGAAUUACUGGGCGUAAAGGGCGCGUAGGCGGUCUUGUAAGUCUUGUGUGAAAUCCCUCGGCUUAACUGAGGAACUGCACGGGAUACUGCAUGACUUGAGAUCGGGAGAGGGAAGCGGAAUUCCGGGUGUAGCGGUGAAAUGCGUAGAUAUCCGGAGGAACACCAGUGGCGAAGGCGGCUUCCUGGACCGACACUGACGCUGAGGCGCGAAAGCUAGGGGAGCAAACGGG